CCUACGGGCGGCUGCAGUGGGGAAUAUUGCACAAUGGGGGAAACCCUGAUGCAGCGACGCCGCGUGAGUGAAGAAGUAUCUCGGUACGUAAAGCUCUAUCAGCAGGGAAGAAAAUGACGGUACCUGACUAAGAAGCCCCGGCCAACUACGUGCCAGCAGCCGAGGGAAUACGUAGGGGGCAAGCGUUAUCCGGAUUUACUGGGUGUAAAGGGAGCGUAGACGGCAGCACAAGUCUGGAGUGGAAUCCCGGGGCGUAACCCCGGUACUGCUUUGGAAACUGUGUGGCUUGAGUGCAGGAGGGGUAAGCGGAAUUCCUAGUGUAGCGGUGAAAUGCGUAGAUAUUAGGCGGAACACCGGUGGCGAAGGCGGCUUACUGGACUGUGACUGACGUUGAGGCUCGAAAGCGUGGGGAGCGAACAGGAUUAGAUACCCUAGUAGUC
rnacentral:rRNA from 1 species